rnacentral:rRNA from 1 species
UGCCAGCAGCCGCGGUAAUACGGAGGGUGCGAGCGUUAAUCGGAAUUACUGGGCGUAAAGCGCGCGUAGGCGGUUUGAUAAGCUGGAUGUGAAAGCCCUGGGCUCAACCUGGGAAUUGCAUCCAGAACUGUCUGACUAGAGUACAGUAGAGGUGAGUGGAAUUUCCUGUGUAGCGGUGAAAUGCGUAGAUAUAGGAAGGAACAUCAGUGGCGAAGGCGACUCACUGGACUGAUACUGACGCUGAGGUGCGAAAGCGUGGGGAGCAAACAGGAUUAGAUA